rnacentral:rRNA from 1 species
AUGUGUGAAGCGACUGGAACGGUGGGAACCUUCUGCUGCAGCGACGAUGAUCAGUACUCCCACAGGAGUGGCUCCUCGAGGCGGAACACGCCGGCGCCGACGAUGUCCUCGUCGACGACCCAGGACGACGCGCACGGGAGGCCCGCCGAGGCCUCAUAUCUCAGGUCCAGGAGCAGGUCGGGGAGGUCGAACAGGGCGUCUUCCGGGUCUUGGACCGGCUCGGCGUGCGGUGCAGGCGGGGGCGGCGGCGAGACCGCGCUGGCGUCGGAGGCGCUGUCGGGGCUCUUGGCAUUGGCACUGGCGCCGCAGGGGAAGUCGGCGGAGGCGGCGACCCAGCUCAGUGUGGAUGAGAUUCAUGUAGUAGUACGGGUAUCAGAUAAUAUUGCCAAAAAUAAGAGUAUCAAAUACCUCAGGGGUGUUUAA